AAAGAAAAAAGAAAAAAAAAAGCCUAAGAUAUAAGCUCUGAAUAAAUGCCAAACUUUUUGCAAUUAGACAGCAUCUUGAGGUACCCUUGCAGUGUAAGUAUUCAACUUUUGCCAUAAAUUAUUAAAUUUUUUACCAUAAAAUCACAAAUUCUGUACUCCAUAACACUAAAAUAACUCACUGUAAAUUCAGAAUUUCAAUGUAAAAUAUCAAGAACGUUGCUGUAAAACCCAAAACAUUUUCCUACAGAAAACAAAAUAUUAAAUGAAAUCCACUCUUAUUCCCCCCUCCUCAGUUCUUUCCUUUAUUUGACCUAACAGUGGCUCAAUAAAAUCUGGUUGAUCGAAAAUCUAUAUCCAAGUUCAGAGGACAAGAUUGCAUACAUUAAUAAGCUCCAGCAUUCUAUCAAGAAGAUCAUGGUCUAUAGUGGAUGACAAAUUCCCAAUCCAAGUGAACGUAGACCUUCCAGUUUGCAGGAUGUAACAAUAGUAUGAAUUUAGAGAACUUGAA
rnacentral:misc_RNA from 1 species